CAUUUCCCAUUUUUUUAUAAUAUUUUAAAAUUUUAAUUAGACGUACUUUCUCGUUUUCAUCGUGACAAUCUUACUUAGGAAAGAAGGAGACCCUUAUCCACCGAUGUUCCACCAUCGUUCUCCUUCGAUGCUCCACCAGUGUUCUCCUCGAUCUCCACCGGAAAAGUGAAAGUGACGAUGGUGUUAGGAGUUGUGAAGAUGAUUGCGAAGAAGAAAAUGGGUUGAAGGCGAGGCGAAGGUUCAUUGUCUUGUGUAGAUGAAAUUAGGAAGAAGAAGAAGAAUUAAAGAUGAAGGGGAGAAGGUUACCUGUGUGUGUGAUUCUAUGAAGAGAAUGAUGUUUGGAGGAUUGUAUGAUGAAUAGUUUUGAAAUGAUGAUUGUCGAUGAAUGCUGGAAAUUGAAAUGAAAUCGAUCAAAAGUGGAAUUGAAAUGGGCAUGGGGUGCAAUGAAGGAGUGGAGAAGGAGGUGAAGAAUGAAAACUUUGUGAUAGGUGAUGAUGAUGAUGAGUAUGGCAGAUGACAUGUCCAUCAACUUGUUAUUGCUUUGAUUGGUGACCACUAGAAUUCCAAAACUUAGAGCAACAUUUAUAAAAAAGAUCCAUAGGUGAUAUUAUAUCAGUCCUGAAAGCUGAGAAAGAGGAGAUGGAAUCAUCACUCAGCAAAGAGAAACAACAUGCUCUUCAAUUAAAGCAAGAGUUGAUGGAAGUUAAGUCUCGUAACACUAACCUUGAAAGACUUUGUGUGUGAAUCCAUCACCGACAAGAUUUGGUCUAACAACUUUGACCUUUCUGGUUGAACAACACGUCGAUUGCACAUUUCAUCUUAAACAAGCAGAACAAUUUAGCCAACAAAGGUGUAGAAAUUGAGAAGAUUAUACAUAUGGAUGCUGCUCCUCUUGGAGUUUCCAUCUCGUGCUAAUAUCAAGUUGUGACUCAGAAUAAUUGGACAAGAAUGAAGAUGAAUUUAAAUUGUCAGACCUAGAGCAGGUAUAAGAAGUUGUUAUGCAAUGUAGUUUGAGAGAUUGUCAUUUAUGUACAUGAAUUUAAUUGGUUGUCCUUGACUAGAUGGGUUGGCUAGAUAAAUACCUCAUUUGUCUGUACAUAGGAAAUUGAAGGUUUGUUUCAUCUUUGUCGCAUUAUGAAGGAGAAUCACUGAACAAUUUGAUUGUGAUAUCUACUAUUUUAUGGUUGAGGUUAUGUAUACUUCAGUUUGUUUCUUUAA